rnacentral:lncRNA from 1 species
UACCAGAUUCUGUCAAGAAAAAGAGGCAUCCGAAAAAAGAGGGUAUAUUAGAGCUGUGUGUGUGUAUGUAAUGUAGGUGUUUGACGAAUUGUGUGAGCCAAAUAUAAAUAUGGGGUGAGUUUAGGGGAUCUGCUAGAUGAAGAAAACUUUAAUCCCCUAAAAAUUAUAAGGAAAUGGGAUAAGGGAUAGGUUUUGAACUUCUAGGAUAGGGGGUCUGCUAGAGAUGCUCUUAGAGAGGAUUCCCUUUGCAUAUAAACGUGCUCCCUAUAUUGUUUUCUUUCUUUAUCCGUUAUCACGCUACUCAAUACUCAUCCAAAAAAUUGCAAAUUCAACAGAAUGUCAAUGACACGGUAAAAUUCUAGCUAUGCCUACAUGCCAUGGAGCUCUUAACAAACAUCAAGUUUCAAGAAUGGUGCCCAAAUCAUCGCGAGAUGGACAAAUGGCUGGCACAAGGCAAACAGGAACCAUAAUGAGGACGCUGAUGAAUCCAAUAAAAUGCACGACACAAUCAUGUAUUUAGCUAACGAACUUUAACUUCUAAUUGGGCAAUAAGAGCAAUAGGCAUCAGAAAAAAAUAAUGACCACAAAUGUGAUCUCCCAGGGCAUAUCAAUAGUUCAUGACAGAUGAAAAAGGAUGAUCACACGUAAGUGGGUAUGAGAAUAUUACUUAC